UACGAAGGGGGCUAGCGUUGCUCGGAAUCACUGGGCGUAAAGGGUGCGUAGGCGGGUCUUUAAGUCAGGGGUGAAAUCCUGGGGCUCAACUCCAGAACUGCCUUUGAUACUGAAGAUCUUGAGUUCGGGAGAGGUGAGUGGAACUGCGAGUGUAGAGGUGAAAUUCGUAGAUAUUCGCAAGAACACCAGUGGCGAAGGCGGCUUACUGGUCCGGUACUGACGCUGAGGUGCGAAAGCGUGGGGAGCAAACAGGG
rnacentral:rRNA from 1 species